rnacentral:rRNA from 1 species
CCUACGGGGUGCAGCAGUGGGGAAUAUUGGGCAAUGGACUCAAGCCUGAACCAGCAACGCAGCGUGAAGGAAGACUGCUUUCGGGUUGUAAACUUCUUUUCUGAGGGACGAAGAAUGUGACGGUACCUCAGGAAUAAACCACGGCUAACUACGUGCCAGCAGCCGCGGUAAUACGUAGGUGGCAAGCGUUAUCCGGAUUUAUUGGGUGUAAAGGGCUUGUAGGCGGGAAAGCAAGUCAGAUGUGAAAACUCAGGGCUCAACCGUGAGCCUGCAUUUGAAACUGGUUUUCUUGAGUGCUGGAGAGGUAAGCGGAAUUCCGUGUGUAGCGGUGAAAUGCGUAGAUAUACGGAAGAACACCAGUGGCGAAGGCGGAUUGCUGGACAGUAACUGACGCUGAGGCGCGAAAGCGUGGGUAGCAAACAGGAUUAGAUACCCCAGUAGUC